GACGAACGCUGGCGGCGUGCUUAACACAUGCAAGUCGAACGGAAAGGCCCUGCUUUUGUGGGGUGCUCGAGUGGCGAACGGGUGAGUAACACGUGAGUAACCUGCCCUUGACUUUGGGAUAACUUCAGGAAACUGGGGCUAAUACCGGAUAGGAGCUCCUGCUGCAUGGUGGGGGUUGGAAAGUUUCGGCGGUUGGGGAUGGACUCGCGGCUUAUCAGCUUGUUGGUGGGGUAGUGGCUUACCAAGGCUUUGACGGGUAGCCGGCCUGAGAGGGUGACCGGCCACAUUGGGACUGAGAUACGGCCCAGACGCCUACGGGAGGCAGCAGUGGGGAAUAUUGCACAAUGGGCGGAAGCCUGAUGCAGCAACGCCGCGUGCGGGAUGACGGCCUUUGGGUUGUAAACCGCUUUCGCCUGUGACGAAGCGUGAGUGACGGUAAUGGGUAAAGAAGCACCGGCUAACUACGU
rnacentral:rRNA from 1 species